rnacentral:rRNA from 1 species
UACAGGGGGGCAAGCGUUGUUCGGAAUUACUGGGCGUAAAGGGUCUGUAGGUGGCUUGCUAAGUCAGACGUGAAAUCCCUCAGCUUAACUGGGGAACUGCGUCUGAUACUGGCAAGCUUGAGUGCAGGAGAGGAACGCGGAAUUCCAGGUGUAGCGGUGGAAUGCGCAGAUAUCAGGAGGAACACCGGCGGCGAAGGCGGGC